rnacentral:rRNA from 1 species
GACCUGAGAGGGUGAUCGGCCACAUUGGGACUGAGACACGGCCCAAACUCCUACGGGAGGCAGCAGUAGGGAAUCUUCGGCAAUGGACGAAAGUCUGACCGAGCAACGCCGCGUGAGUGAAGAAGGUGUUCGGAUCGUAAAACUCUGUUGUUAGAGAAGAACAAGGAUGAGAGUAACUGUUCAUCCCUUGACGGUAUCUAACCAGAAAGCCACGGCUA